AGUGAACGCUGGCGGUAGGCCUAACACAUGCCAGUCGAACGGCAGCACAGUAAGAGCUUGCUCUUACGGGUGGCGAGUGGCGGACGGGUGAGGAAUACAUCGGAAUCUACUUUUUCGUGGGGGAUAACGUAGGGAAACUUACGCUAAUACCGCAUACGACCUACGGGUGAAAGCAGGGGAUCUUCGGACCUUGCGCGAUUGAAUGAGCCGAUGUCGAAUUAGCUAGUUGGCGGGGUAAAGGCCCACCAAGGCGACGAUCCGUAGCUGGUCUGAGAGGAUGAUCAGCCACACUGGAACUGAGACACGGUCCAGACUCCUACGGGAGGCAGCAGUGGGGAAUAUUGGACAAUGGGCGCAAGCCUGAUCCAGCCAUACCGCGUGGGUGAAGAAGGCCUUCGGGUUGUAAAGCCCUUUUGUUGGGAAAGAAAAGCAGCAGGUUAACACCCCGCUGUUCUGACGGUACCCAAAGAAUAAGCACCGGCUAACUUCGUG
rnacentral:rRNA from 1 species